rnacentral:rRNA from 1 species
UGCGUAGGUGGUUUCUUAAGUCAGGAGUGAAAGGCUACGGCUCAACCGUAGUAAGCUCUUGAAACUGGGAAACUUGAGUGCAGGAGAGGAGAGUGGAAUUCCUAGUGUAGCGGUGAAAUGCGUAGAUAUUAGGAGGAACACCAGUAGCGAAGGCGGCUUUCUGGACUGUAACUGACACUGAGGCACGAAAGCGUGGGGAGCAAACA